UACGAGUGGUGCAAGCGUUAUUCGGAAUAACUGGGCGUAUAGGGUGCGUAGACGGCAUAUUAAGUCCGCUGUUAAAUACUUCAGCUCAACUGAAGACAUGCGGUGGAAACUGAUAAGCUAGAGAUUGAAAGAGAGAAGUGGAAUUCCCGGAGUAGCGGUAAAAUGCGUAGAUAUCAGGAGGAACACCAGUGGCGAAGGCGGCUUCCUGGACACCAACUGACGCUGAGACGCGAAAGCGUGGGGAGCAAACAGG
rnacentral:rRNA from 1 species